CUCUGGGAGGGGCAGGGUUGGGCCCUCUCUGCCAUGGGGUUCCUUACAGAGGAAGGAGGCACAUUAAGCCUUCUCUCUCCACUGCACCCCAUCCUUCCCCUCAGCGGCAGCAGGAGUUAUCCUCUCUCCUUUUGUGCCCGGUGCAGGGACCUCCAGUGUCCAGAUGGAGAACGAGGAGGAGGAGGACGUAUCCCCGGAGGAAGCUGCCAUCAGGGUCAUCCAGCAGCAUCUCCAGGGCAGAGAUGAGCAAACUGAAGCCGCCACUGGAGCUGGAAUCAGGCCUCCUGCGAGCUGUCCUGUACAGUGUUUUUACCAUGCACCCAGGGAAGGACACCGCUCACCUCCGGGAAAAUCAUCCCCAAAGGAGGUGUAAGGAUCCUGGACUCUAUUGCCUGCAAGAAGCUUCAGCCACCUUCACAGUCAGGCUAGGGCUCACUGUCCAUUGUGGAGGUGAAAACCGGAUGGGAGCUGCUGGAUUGGCCUUGAUAUGCCAUGUCCUUGUGUGGAUAAGGGACCUACACCACAGAGAUGGCCAGCAGCAGAUGUACCACACAUGAACAGGAAUGGGCUGAACAACCUACACUGAUAGAGCGAGGAACAGAGAUGAAGUGGUGAAGAGUUCCCUGAGACCUAGAAAGGAGGCUGGUUGCGACUCUGUUCUGAUUCUAAGUCCUGUGCUUGGACCACACUCCAGUGCAACCGUCUGUAAAUUAAUGACCUACCUGAACAACAACCGGUGCUGCCGCUGCCUAUCCUGGAGCAGAAAACUGAGAAUUUUGUGGGAGCUUUCUCAGAUCGUUGGCCACUUAGCAGAAUGCAAAAGAGCCAUGUGGUGAUGGGCUAGAGGAGUCACAGGAGUUACCAUGUGGCUGUGUAGCAGGUGCAGUGCCUGCCAUCACCGUGGGCCAAACCCUGGACUCCGGACAAUGCAGGCUAAGUGACCCUUGAUUGCGAAGGGGACUUUGGCUUGGGGAAUCGGUUGCUGGUACCUGUGUCCAUAGACAGAGAACUGAGAUGUUUUCAUGAGGCUACUCAAUGGUACAUGCAGCUCCAUGCAGACAAGUGGCGAAUGUACGUUAAAGAGCGAGGCUGGGACCUCUGCGGAGCUGCUGCACUCAAGCAUCCACAGCCAGGAGAGAGACGAUGGGAAACUUGCUAAGAUGGCUGGCCAUAGCGCUGAGAAAAAGCAGUUUAGCAGCUAGUUCAUGGGAAAUAAAAAGGAACUAAAUAUUGCUCCCUGCUCAAUAAAGUGUUAAAAAUGUGUCUCUUCAAAAUUGCUCUGAACUUUACAAUGUCCUUGUAUAAUUUGCGGCGGGGGGCGGGGGAUUUCUAAAUGUAAUAUUUCAUGCUCCUAAA